rnacentral:rRNA from 1 species
UACGUAGGGACCGAGCGUUGUCCGGAAUCAUUGGGCGUAAAGAGCGUGUAGGCGGCUAUUUAAGUCCUGCGUGAAAUCCUGCGGCUCAACCGCAGACGGUCGUGGGAAACUGGAUGGCUAGAGUGCGGGAGAGGAGAGUGGAAUUCCCGGUGUAGCGGUGAAAUGCGCAGAUAUCGGGAAGAACACCGAUAGCGAAGGCAGCUCGCUGGGACGGUACUGACGCUGAGGCGCGAAAGCGUGGGGAGCGAACAGG